AAACCCUGUAUGAAUUUGGCGGGACCAUCCGCUAAGGCUAAAUACUCCUGAGAGACCGAUAGUGAACUAGUACCGUGAGGGAAAGGUGAAAAGAACCCUGAAUAAGGGAGUGAAAUAGAUCCUGAAACCGUACGCCUACAAGCGGUCGGAGCAUAUUUAUAUGUAACGGCGUGCCUUUUGCAUAAUGAGCCUACGAGUUACUGUUAAUAGCGAGGUUAACCCUGAAUAACAGGGGCAGCCGUAGCGAAAGCGAGUCUUAACAGGGCGUUAUAGUUAUUAGUAGUAGUGAAAAGUCUUUGGAUGACCUGUGGGUAGGGGUGAAAGGCCAAUCAAACUCGGAAAUAGCUCGUACUCCCCGAAAUGCAUUUAGGUGCAGCGUUGGUUAUAUAGUUUUAUAGAGGUAGAGCUACUGAUUGGAUGCGGGGGUUUCACCGCCUACCAAUUCCUGACAAACUCCGAAUGCUAUAAAAUGAUAACCGGCAGUGAGGGCAUGGGUGCUAAGGUCCAUGUCCGAGAGGGCCCAGACAGCUAGGAUGUUGGCUUGGAAGCAGCCAUUCAUUUAAAGAGUGCGUAACAGCUCACUAGUCGAGCGGUCGAGCAUGGAUAAUAAUCGGGCAUUAAGUAUAUUACCGAAGCUGUGGCUUUGUAGCAAGAGCUACGAGGGGUAGGGGAGCAUUGUAAUUAGGUAGAAGGAUUACCGUGAGGUUUUCUGGACUGAUUACAAAAGAAAAUGUAGGCAUAAGUAACGAUAAGACGGGCGAGAAACCCGUCCACCGAAAGACUAAGGUUUCCUCAGCUAUGCUAGUCAGCUGAGGGUUAGUCGGGUCCUAACACGUACCCGAAAGGGGAAGUGGAUGGUCAACAGGUUAAUAUUCCUGUACUGCUUUAUAUUGCGAUGGAGAGACGGAGUAGUGACAGCACCGCGUACAGACGGAAUUGUACGUUAAACUAAGAAGGUAUAAGAAUAAUAGUAAAAUGCGUUAUUCUUGCUGAAUUAGGAUAGUACCACAAAGCUUCGGCGGCGUGGAUAGUGUGUGUAAUGACUUCCAAGAAAAACUUCUAAGCAUCAGAUAUAAAGUACCCGUACUGAAAACCGACACAGGUAGUUGGGAAGAGAAUUCUAAGGUGCUCGAGAGAUUCAUGGCUAAGGAACUAGGCAAAAUAGACUCGUAACUUCGGGAGAAGAGUCGCCAUGUUUAGGUGGAUUUAUUCAUUUAAAGGUGGCCGCAGAGAAACGAUCCAGGCGACUGUUUAUCAAAAACAUAGGGCUUUGCUAAAUCGCAAGAUGAUGUAUAAGGCCUGACACCUGCCCGGUGCUGGAAGGUUAAGUGGAGAUGUUCGUUCAUUUGGACAAAGCAUUGAGAUGAAGCCCCAGUAAACGGCGGCCGUAACUAUAACGGUCCUAAGGUAGCGAAAUUCCUUGUCGGGUAAGUUCCGACCUGCACGAAUGGUGCAACGAUCU
rnacentral:rRNA from 1 species